ensembl:lncRNA
GUUCCUUAUUUUAUAUUCCUUGGAGGCAGCAGUAUCUAUUCCAGACAAUCCAUCUUAGUGCCCAUGGUUUAUGUUGAAAACAACUGGAAAAGUACAAACUUUGAAGCCUUCAGCACCAUGGACAAGGCCUCCUCCACCAGCCUGCCCAGUGCCACAGACAGAGCAGGUCAAUGCCACAGAGGACCUGAGCCCUAGGACAAUGCCUCAGGAAUACCUGGCCUGAUGACUCCUGGCUGUCCCCGUCCCUGGUCCACCUAGUAGUGCUGCUGACCCAGUUUCUGCUGUUCUGCCUGCGGCCAUGGAACCCUGAGCUGUUCAAUCUCAACACCCCACACAUGCUGUCACAUAACUGACAUUAACUCCCAAGGUGCUGACCUCUUGCACCCUCUACAACCACUAUGAUUAUUAUUUGACCCAGUGGUCUUCUAUGAACAUUUGAACAUCUUGAAGAACGAUCUAGCCUUAAUGACCAAGUACUCUUAUAAUCUCCACAUGGCACAUCCAGAAGAGGACUGGCCACCCCUCAGAGCCUGGUUACUCUAUGUCUCCUCCCAGGUUCCUGCCUUUCAAAGGAGUUUUUCCACGCCAUGGUGCCUUUACAUCUGCAUUGCUUGCUCUCUGGGGUUUAAGGCUUGGUUUCUGUAUAAGCACUUUGUGCCAAUUCCUGUAAAAAGGGUUCUAUAAAUACAUUUGAUUGAUUAAAAUACAAAGCCCUCACCUCAAUGAAUUUCAUUCAUGAAUUAUUUUUGAUUACGGUAGCAUUUCAUUUCUUACCAUAUUUAUAUUACAGCAGGUGUACUGUAAUAUGAAAUAAAGAAUUUUACUUGCCACGAUGUCACGCCCUGGUCGAAGUAUUUUGUGUUUAUCUUUAUUUAUUUGGUCAGGCCAGGGUGUGGCAUGGGUUUUUGUAUGUGGUGUGUAUAUAUGGGGGAUUGUAGCUAGUGGG